AACGAACGCUGGCGGCAUGCCUAACACAUGCAAGUCGAACGAGACCUUCGGGUCUAGUGGCGCACGGGUGCGUAACGCGUGGGAACCUGCCCUUAGGUUCGGAAUAACUCCUCGAAAGGGGUGCUAAUACCGGAUAAUGUCUUCGGACCAAAGAUUUAUCGCCUUUGGAUGGGCCCGCGUUGGAUUAGCUAGUUGGUAGGGUAAAAGCCUACCAAGGCGACGAUCCAUAGCUGGUCUGAGAGGAUGAUCAGCCACACUGGGACUGAGACACGGCCCAGACUCCUACGGGAGGCAGCAGUGGGGAAUAUUGGAAAAUGGGCGAAAGCCUGAUCCAGCAAUGCCGCGUGAGUGAUGAAGGCCUUAGGGUUGUAAAGCUCUUUUACCCGGGAUGAUAAUGACAGUACCGGGAGAAUAAGCUCCGGCUAACUCCGUG
rnacentral:rRNA from 1 species